CUGUCGUCAGCUCGUGUCGUGAGAUGUUGGGUUAAGUCCCGUAACGAGCGCAACCCUUGUCCUUAGUUACCAGCACGUUAUGGUGGGCACUCUAAGGAGACUGCCGGUGACAAACCGGAGGAAGGUGGGGAUGACGUCAAGUCAUCAUGGCCCUUACGGCCUGGGCUACACACGUGCUACAAUGGUCGGUACAAAGGGUUGCCAAGCCGCGAGGUGGAGCUAAUUCCAUAAAACCGAUCGUAGUCCGGAUCGCAGUCUGCAACUCGACUGCGUGAAGUCGGAAUCGCUAGUAAUCGUGAAUCAGAAUGUCACGGUGAAUACGUUCCCGGGCCUU
rnacentral:rRNA from 1 species